rnacentral:rRNA from 1 species
UACGUAGGUGGCAAGCGUUGUCCGGAAUUAUUGGGCGUAAAGCGCGCGCAGGCGGCUUCUUUAAGUCUGAUGUGAAAUCUCGGGGCUCAACCCCGAGCGGCCAUUGGAAAACUGGGAAGCUUUGAGUACAGAAGAGGAGAGUGGAAUUCCACGUGUAGCGGUGAAAUGCGUAGAUAUGUGGAGGAACACCAGUGGCGAAGGCGACUCUCUGGUCUGUAACUGACGCUGAGGCGCGAAAGCGUGGGGGAGCAAACAGG